rnacentral:lncRNA from 1 species
AGGAUAAAUGGAUUUGCUUACCCCUUGCUGGAUUAUCCUCAAGGCUGUAGCAUUUCUCUUCACAUUCUCCUUGUAUUCUUUUCCUUUUGCUUCUGUAGAAGAUGAAGUUGUUUCUGAUUGAGGCAGUUCUUCGUAUCCUUGUUCCACCACGUCCCACAAAUCUUGUGAAAUGAAAAUCAUCUCCAUUUGAGAGCUCCAAUAGUCAUAAUGCUCUCCAUCAAAAAUAGGAAUUUGGCUUGAAGAAUAUGUGAAAAGAGUAUUGCAAUUUGCUGAAGCCAUUAUGAAAUAUUGCUCUGAUACCAAAUUUGUUGGAGGCAACGAAAGCA